rnacentral:lncRNA from 10 species
UUUGAAAAUCUGAUGAUCUUAAAUUCUUAUAAAUGGAUAAAGAGAUUUCUCAGUGCUUAAAAAUAUUUUGUAUAUUUAAAUUUUUUAUGUAUUAAAAUUAUUUCAGUAUGCUUUUAGAAUUGCUCUCAUUUACCAGAUAAGAAGAAAAAUAAUUCUAUCAACUUGGACAAUCUCUCAAUGUUGUUCUAAUCUGCUACUUUCUAAUUAGCUUCAGUCUUUGUGUCCAGGAAAGUGUGAGGCCCAGGGGGGAAAAAUUCCCAAAGAAUCUUGGAGAGUAAGCUGAGCUUUCUCCACCAAAUAUUUCCCCACAGUUAUUACUAAAUACAGACUUGAAGCACAAAGAAUUUUGGAGACUUCAGUUUCCGCUCAGAGGAACUAACCAGGGAGGUUUGGACUUUCCUGCCUCUAAUAAGGACAGUGAAAUGUGAUUGGAAGUGGCAGUGGUUGUCUGAUAGCGGAAGCUCCAUCCACCGAGGUUCUUAAGUGAGAAUGUCUUGAAUAGAGUCAACAUACCCUAACUUCCACCAACCUUUGAUAUAAAUGCAGCAUGAGUAAGAAAUAAACAUUUAUUGUUUUAAUCCACCCAGAUUUUUGGAUUGUCAAUUACCAUAGUGCAACUAGCCU